GAUGAACGCUAGCUACAGGCUUAACACAUGCAAGUCGAGGGGAAACGACAUCGAAAGCUUGCUUUUGAUGGGCGUCGACCGGCGCACGGGUGAGUAACGCGUAUCCAACCUGCCCACCACUUGGGGAUAACCUUGCGAAAGUAAGACUAAUACCCAAUGACGUCUCUAGAAGACAUAUGAAGGAGAUUACAGAUUUAUCGGUGAUGGAUGGAGAUGCGUCUGAUUAGCUUGUUGGCGGGGUAACGGCCCACCAAGGCGACGAGCAGUAGGUGGUAUGAGAGGAAAGCCCCCCACAUUGGAACUGAGAAACGGGCCAAACUCAGCCGUGAGGCAGCAGUGAGGAAUAUUGGGAAAUGGCGCAUGUCCUGACCCAGCAAAGUAGCGUGCAGAAUGACGGCCCUAUGGGUUGUAAACUGCUUUUAUAAGGGAAUAAAGUGAGUCUCGUGAGACUUUUUGCAUGUACCUUAUGAAUAAGGACCGGCUCAUUCCGUGCCAGCCGCCGCGGUAA
rnacentral:rRNA from 1 species